ACCACACCUUCCGCAGCACCAGCGCCGCGCCGGCCGCCUCCCGCGCCCGCUCGCCGCCGCCUCCAUCGUCCACCUUCCGUGCACAGAGGGACAGAGAGAGCGCGGUCAGUGCCCGCCGGGGUCGGGGCUGGGGCUGCCAUCCCGCCGCCCGGGGGAGCCGCCGCCGGAGGCUUAAACUGGGGAGAGGGCUCUUGGUACCCCGGGACAGCUAAACACAGCACUAUCAACCUCGAUAUCAGUUCCCAGCAGGAGUUUCAAGUAAACAGCAAGGUUCUCUGGACUCAGUGGAUCUUCCAACCAAUAUUAUAGCCAAUUUUCCACUCCUCUCAUCCAUCUUUCUAAUACUGAGGGCAGGAACUUGACUUCUCUGGCAGCCCCCAUACAGCUUUCACUCAAGAAUGAGAACUGCAGAAUACAGCUCACUAAGGCCCUGCACCUGAAGACCAUUCACAACAGCACUGGAAAGAAAAGCCUUGCUGCCAGCGUGGAGGCUGCCAGACAUGCAGCAGCACAUCGCGCUGGAGCUGUUGCCGCCUCCAGCCAUCUGCUCCACCCUACUGAGGGAUGUUGCCACCUCCAAAACAAGGACAUCUGAUCUACCCUUAGCCAGCCUGCUGCAUGUUUUGCUGGGCUCUGAUAUUAUCAGCACACAACAUACCAGCUCUGCCUGACAUAGCCUUCCCUUCUUCACAUGGUAGGGGACGGCUGUCUUCAGGACAACUCCUCAAACCAUGUUGCUCUACUGACAGUCCCCUCCAUAAAGUCUCAGCCCAUCCAUCAGCCACUGGGCUUUCACUGUACUUCCCUGCUGCCCUUCUCUAGCUCUUCUUCAGCCACCAUUAUGCCUACAUAAGGCUCCUUCUCUCUUUGGUUAAGUUCACCAUGAGAAGCAGCACUGACAUCAGGUUCCCAAACAAUCUCCCUUGGGACACUUCCCUUCUCCUUCCUUGAAGUAUCUCCUCCUGAGCAAGCUGGUGUUAUCUAUAGGGAGAAAGUGACACUCCAUGAUGCCACUUAUCAGCUUCUGAUAUAUUGUAUGCACAGUGAUUUCUUCGGCCAACAAAGGCUUCACUGCAGGCUGCAAUUUUCCGCUGACAUAUCUUCUGAUCCCAUUCUGCUUCUCUCAUCACAUCCCAUUACUUUCAGACUGUGUACUACAGACUACUUAGACACUGCCAACACCUCUUAUGCCACCCAAGGAAUACUGAAACUCUCAUGUAUCUCUGAUCCUGGCUUCCCUUCCCCCAUUUCUAGCUUUGAUAUCUUCCUUCCCAUCAUAGCUUCAAACAAUUUAUAUAGCUUUCUACAGCUACAUCCUUUUCCAUGUAUAACUGUGAGAUCUCACCUAACCAACUUCUUUCUCCCUAUUCAGAAAAUUAUUUUUAUGUCAAAAAUCUCAUAAAUUCACUUUCUCUUAUAAGUCCUUCCAGAAAUAACUUCUUAAACCUGUUUACUUGGUCAUUACUGGGUUCUUCCUUCCCACAUGGUUGGCCAUUUACUAUUUGACCUGAACUUUGAUGGAUAAGGAGAUGCUGCAGGCGAAGAAGACGUACAGUCUGGAAUUCACCAUCUACCACAGAGCAUUUGAGUAACAGAAACAUAAAAUGAGAUGUAUGGACAGAUGACCAGGUCUUAACUCCCUAAUAGAACCCUGUGGAGAGGGUUACAAUAUCCAAGUACUCCAGGGAAAUAACUAAUGAUCCUUUCUUCAGUGCAGUCAUGUUUCAAGAAGCAAUUGCAUGAGUUACUAAGUGCUUGAGACUGCCUCAGUAAUUGCAAUGAUUUAUUUUAUGCAUCAUCGUAACUACAGCACUAGGUCAGGAGGACACGUGCCUUAUGGAUGCCUUGAAUUUUAACACAUGCAUUGGAGGCAAUCAGAAACACAGAGACCACAGUGGGGGACAGGGGGGUAGGGGAAAGACAAAGUCCAAAAUCCUAUCUAAAACAUAGAUUUCUGUUAAAUUUUUUAUAAAAUGUACUAUAUUUUCAGAUGACUCUAAGCAGAGGUUGCUUAAACUUUCUUCUGCUCCCCUAAAAUGCAAGUGAUCACUAUCUAAUGCUCUUGAAAUAUGUUAGGAUUUUUUUUUUCCAGUGUAAGUAAUGAAUGUGCAGUUUACAGUGUAACUAUCCAU